rnacentral:rRNA from 1 species
GACGAACGCUGGCGGCGUGCCUAAUACAUGCAAGUUGAGCGCUGAAGGUUGGUACUUGUACCAACUGGAUGAGCAGCGAACGGGUGAGUAACGCGUGGGGAAUCUGCCUUUGAGCGGGGGACAACAUUUGGAAACGAAUGCUAAUACCGCAUAAAAACUUUAAACACAAGCUUUAAGUUUGAAAGAUGCAAUUGCAUCACUCAAAGAUGAUCCCGCGUUUUAUUAGCUAGUUGGUGAGGUAAAGGCUCACCAAGGCGAUGAUACAUAGCCGACCUGAGAGGGGGGUCUGCCAAAUUGGGAGUGAGACACGGCCCAAACUCCUACGGGAGGCAGCAGUAGGGAAUCUUCGGCAAUGGACGAAAGUCUGACCGAGCAACGCCGCGUGAGUGAAGAAGGUUUUCGGAUCGUAAAACUCUGUUGGUAGAGAAGAACGUUGGUGAGAGUGGAAAGCUCAUCAAGUGACGGUAACUACCCAGAAAGGGACGGCUAACUACGUG